rnacentral:miRNA from 1 species
CCAAUUUCCAUUUCUUU